GACGUAGGUGGCGAACGUUAUCCGGAAUUAUUGGGCGUAAAGGGUGCGUAGGCGGCAUGAUAAGUUAAUUGGCGGCAAAUCGAGGCUCAACCUCGUGGAAACUGAUAAUACUGUCUUGCUUGAGUGCAGAAGAGGUUAACGGAACUCCAUGUGGAGCGGUAAAAUGUGUAGAUAUAUGGAAGAACACCAAUAACGGCGAAGGCAGUUAACUAUUCUGUUACUGACAUUGAGGCAC
rnacentral:rRNA from 1 species